rnacentral:rRNA from 1 species
CCUACGUGAGGCAGCAGUGGGGAAUAUUGGGCAAUGGGCGCAAGCCUGACCCAGCAACGCCGCGUGAAGGGAGAAGGCUUUCGGGUUGUAAACUUCUUUUAAGAGGGAAGAGGAGAAGACGGUACCUCCUGAAUAAGCCACGGCUAACUACGGGCCAGCAGCCGCGGUAAUACGUAGGUGGCAAGCGUUGUACGGAUUUACUGGGUGUAAAGGGCGUGUAGCCGGGCUGACACGUCAGAUGUGAAAUCCCGUGGCUCAACCACGGAACUGCAUUUGAAACUGUCGGUCUUGAGUAUCGGAGAGGCAGGCGGAAUUCCUAGUGUAGCGGUGAAAUGCGUAGAUAUUAGGAGGAACACCAGUGGCGAAGGCGGCCUGCUGGACGACAACUGACGGUGAGGCGCGAAAGCGUGGGGAGCAAACAGGAUAGAUACCCCUGUAGUC